UUUCUGUCUGCUGCUAAUUAUUUUGUCUUCUUUUCUCAUUCAGGGGAUGAAGUAUUCCCUGAGCUACAUCUCUGCUGACUACGCUCAAGUAUAUUCCAGCAAGGGGGUGAAGAUGUCGGAAAGCGGCUCUGGGAUGGAAGAAGCCACUCAGACGGGUAGCAAAGGAUUGCGUCACACAGUAAGCUGUGGUUUUAAUAUUUCUUCAGGCUUCUCUUUCUCAGGCUUAUUUUUGUAAAAAAAAGUGUUAGAAACACAGAAGCCAAGGGAGGCACGCAAGGGGCAUUUUCUGUUAGAUGUCUCUGAUUCAGUUUAGAAAUCGGAUUUGAGCCAGUCUUGGACCAUCUAUCUCCCUCUCACCCAAGCUCUGAGAGGACACAAAGGCUAGACAGCAAUGGUUGGCCUGGGCUUCCCAUUUCUAGCUCAUUGUUUUCAGUAAGUAGCCUAUGGUGAUGCCCUGCUAGAGUUUUGCUGUUGUAUUAUGUGUGUUUGCUUUGUGGGAGAAAGAAGCAGCGAACUUUUGAGGAGAACUUACUCACCUUCCUCUCUAGAUGACAGUGGGCAUAAUGCUUCCUCCUCCAGGUACAUAAAAUGUCAUCAGAAGUCAAUUUUCUGGUUUUAGGGGCAAAUUUUUUACUUUGAGGCAAGAGGAGCAGGGAGUUUUGUGUACAUUGAUAAAUGCA
rnacentral:lncRNA from 1 species